AUUGAACGCUGGCGGCAGGCCUAACACAUGCAAGUCGAGCGGAGCGGCGGACGGGUGAGUAAUGCCUAGGAAUCUGCCUGCGAGUGGGGGAUAACGUUCGGAAAUGGGCGCUCAUCCCGCAUCCUAUAAGAUGAGCCUAGGUCGGAUUAGCUAUUUGGUGUGGUAAAGGCCUACCAGGGCGACGAUCCGUAACUGGUCUGAGAGGAUGAUCAGUCACACUGGAACUGAGACACGGUCCAGACUCCUACGGGAGGCAGCAGUGGGGAAUAUUGGACAAUGGGCGAAAGCCUGAUCCAGCCAUGCCGCGUGUGUGAAGAAGGUCUUCGGAUUGUAAAGCACUUUAAGUUGGGAGGCGUUACCAACAGAAUAAGCACCGGCUAACUUCGUGCCAGCAGCCGCGGUAAUUC
rnacentral:rRNA from 1 species